UUCAAAGGUUCAAAGGUUUUUAUUCGCCAUUUGUGCAUAAACCAGACAGUUCAAACACAUUGGAAUUCUUGUGCAGGGCUUCCCAAGUCAAGUACAGUAUUAAUACAGAGAGAGAUCGAGAGAGCGAGAGAGCGAGAGAGAGCGAGAGAGAGAGCAGCACAAUAAAUAGUAAUAAAAAAUAUAAAAAGUUUUAAAAAUUGAGAUAAGGACAAAUUGCAUGUUGUGCAUUGCAUUUCAGUUCAAUCUCGACAGAGAAGUUGGACUUCAGAAUCUUCUAGCUGCUACCAAACAAAGGGUUAAUGUUUUUGAUCAUCAGGGAGACGCUCAGCACGUGUUCAACACGCUUCCACCUGCUUUUGCUCCGUAGUUACCAUACCGAAAUACUUUAACAAAUAAAGUGUGUUAAAAGCUAUCCUGGAUUGGAACCCUUUCUUGGAAGAACUCUGCAGCUUCCUAGUCCUAUGAUUGAUAUCGUCAGAUCAGAUUCACCAGUAAGGAUGCUUAAGCUGCUCAGCUGUCCCAAUUCCCCAAAACAAAAUCUGUAAAGAUGAAGUAUCUUUAUUCAAUUCAAUUUUAUUUGUAUAGCCCUUAAUCACCAUAACAGUCUCAAAGGGCUUAACAGGCCAAAUAUUUGUGACACCCCCCUUUACCCAUGCCCCCACACGGGCAAGAAAAAACUCCCUUGAAUCAGCAAGGAAGAAAUCUUGAGAAGAAACGCAGUGGAGGGGAUCCCUUCUUCCAGGGAUGGUCAGGAGUGCAAUGGGUGCCACAAUUGACCCAAGAACCCAUGCAACACUCUAUGGCACCCCACCUGAAGUCCUCAAGGAACAAAACACAGAUGCAGGGGAAAAGAGAUGCCUUUAAAGAAACAAAGUGGAGCGACCCAGGGACAAGUCUGGUUUGGGUUCAAGAUUAAGGAUGGUUAACUUUUAUUAUUGGUGUUUGUUUAAGUUUAGGCAUUAGUGAUUGUAUUAAAGAUUGUUUAGGUAUUAGGAAAGAGUUUAGUUAUUAGAGAUGCUUAGUUAGAUUGUCAAGUUUAGGUACCAGGUUGAGGUAAGCGAGUUUAGGUGUUUGAGCUCUUCAGUUAGAUGGUUAAGUUUGGGUAUUAGGUUAGGUUGAGGUAAGCGAGUUUAGGCCUUUGAGAUGUUUAGUUAAAUGGUUCGGUUUAGGUACUCGGUUAAGGUAAGAGAGUUUAGGCACUUUAGUUAGAUGGUUAAGUUUCGGUAUUAGGUUGGCUUUUUGUUUUGUUAGACAAGUUACUUUAGGCAUUUUAUAUGUUUCAAUUUAGGACAUUUGAAAGAAAGAUUAGAAAGAUUGUUAAGCUCAGGUUUGCUCCAGCUUUGUCCCUUUAGUCGCUCCCUUAGAAAGAGGGUUACGAGGUAACUGGGUUAGAAAUACAAUAGUUGGGGUCACAGAAAUAGAAUGUAUAAAUCAUUGAGCUAAACAUGCUUUUCCUACAACAUGGUGUGAAUUACAGUACUUUUUUUUAAAGUUAAAAUGGUAAAGUGGUAACAGUAUGGUGUGUAGGAGGCAGGAGGAGUUGUAGGAGUUGUUGAGCUCCGAGUGGUUAUGUCUGGGGUAGAUUGGAUUGUAGGUGUAGCCAGGGAUCCUCAGGGUGGAUGGGGAGUAGGCCAUCGUUGUAGAUCAACUGUUCGGUCAUCAUACUCUGAAAUAAAUUGAAGGCACAAAGUAAAGUCAGUCUCACAGUGUGCUGGCAGAUUUAGAAGACAUUUUGAUCACCAAACGUGAAGGCCAAUCAAAGACACAAAUGCAGUAACAACACCAUCUGGCAUCAAACAUAGGUCAUUACAUUCAGUAAUUUAGGUUGGAUUUUAU
ensembl:lncRNA